GUUGUUGGCGAAUUCUAUAUCCUUUCAAGUCACUUUUGCCUUGUUCGUUUCUAUUGCGACGAAGCAAGUGUCCGCUUUUCAAGGCAGCGUUAAAUUUUAAACAUUGACAAGUCAAUUAUGCAUCGGACUACCCCACGUAACUUUUGCUAAACUCAUCCUUGAUUUUAGAUGAAGCUUAAAAAGCAUUCAUGGUUCCAUUUGAAUCCACUUCUCAGCAUAAUCGUGGCUCAACGUACGUGGCUAAUCUACUAAAUCGCAAUUAACCUUACAAGAUGCAAACGAAAAGUCAUCUUUCUCCUUUCUGCCGUGACGCGACGUCAGUGAAAACGGUGUCGUCUCCCAACUUUCUCCAGUCAUGUUUCGAAAUGCAAUGGUAACACAUAAAUAAGCCAAAGCAAAAAAAGAUGAAGAAGUGCAUCGCGGCUUUGUUCUUUAUCGGUUGCACUGGCUCACGUGGUUUGCAGUAUUCUGUUUGCUUGUGCUGUUUGGACUCUUCUCUGCAUCCACACACUUUCACUUUUAUAGAAGAAAAACAAAACGUGCAUUCACAAAUAAAAACCAGUGCGUCGAAGAAAAGACGACAUACAGUCAAUAUCAUUAAAAGAGGUAGUGCCUCGUAAAGUUGAAGCUUAAGAAAUUAUGGAAUCUUCUUACACGUGUGGACUCUGUUGGCUACGUGUCACUUGUCGGACAGGAGAGGUAAACUUGGCUGACACAAUAAAUCAAGUGGCAAUGUACGAAACGCUAUUUUCUUUACUGGACACUGCACCAGACCAGACUGCACCUGUGCUGUUUUGGUGUUUUGGUGGACGUCAAAAUGGUGACUGUCAACUGUUUUUAGGCGCUAUCUUUUUCGUAACUGAUAGUUGAAUUGAUUUGAACAACAAAUUGUUAAGAAAAAGGUGGUUCCCUAACUCCCUAUUAUUUUCCCUAACGCACUUAGCCUUACUUGUGCAGCCUUUAUGCCGUAGAGAUUUAUACUGUUUAUUCCCAAAUGCUCACCGUAUGGCAGAUGGUCCACAAUUUAAUGUGGCACAGCACAACCUCUAUGGGGAGUGAUCGGCACCGCCUAUUCCUACCACUCCAAUAAUAAUACGUCAGUAACAUCCCUUUUAUACAUGUAAAUAGAUGCCCAAAUUUCGAUGCUGCAAGCAAUGCUAUUUUUCAACCCAUUUUCGUACCUUCAUUUAAACCAACAGCCUUAAAUUCACAAAACAAAUAAUGAACUAUGUAGUCUAUGUGCAUCUCGUAAUAAUGGAACAAUUGUUUUCUCCU